AGCGAACGCUGGCGGCAGGCUUAACACAUGCAAGUCGAGCGGGCAUCCUUGUGGUGUCAGCGGCAGACGGGUGAGUAACGCGUGGGAACGUGCCCUUCGGUUCGGAAUAACUCAGGGAAACUUGAGCUAAUACCGGAUACGUGCGAGAGCAGAAAGGUUUAUCUGCCGAAGGAUCGGCCCGCGUCUGAUUAGCUAGUUGGUGAGGUUACGGCUCACCAAGGCGACGAUCAGUAGCUGGUCUGAGAGGAUGAUCAGCCACACUGGGACUGAGACACGGCCCAGACUCCUACGGGAGGCUGCAGUGGGGAAUAUUGGACAAUGGGGGCAACCCUGAUCCAGCCAUGCCGCGUGAGUGAUGACGGCCUUAGGGUUGUAAAGCUCUUUUCUCCGGGACGAUAAUGACGGUACCGGAGGAAUAAGCCCCGGCUAACUUCGUG
rnacentral:rRNA from 1 species